UACAGAGGUCUCAAGCGUUGUUCGGAUUCAUUGGGCGUAAAGAGCGCGUAGGCGGUCCGAUAAGUCGGCUGUGAAAGUCAGGGGCUCAACCCUUGAAAGCCGGCCGAUACUGUCGGACUAGAGUCCGGAAGAGGCAAGUGGAAUUCCCGGUGUAGCGGUGAAAUGCGCAGAUAUCGGGAGGAACACCAAUGGCGAAGGCAGCUUGCUGGGACGGUACUGACGCUGAGGCGCGAAAGCGUGGGGAGCGAACAGG
rnacentral:rRNA from 1 species